ensembl:lncRNA
UUGCAGACCUAUUUUGCAUACUGGCGUUGACAAGUUGAGGCUUGUUCAUUUGACACAGUCCUGUGGUCACAGCAAAUCUUUCUAAAACUCUAACCAGUGGAAAAGGUGCUUGUAUGGAUCCUCUGAACCCUGAGUGGAACUUCCUGAAAGAUUUAUUAGGAGAAAAACCUUCCUGGAAGCAGCAGCAGGACAAACAGAAUCGCUGGCUGGGCAAAGCCUCGUGGCCCGGUCUCCAGGACUUGAGGGGAGUUACAUCUUAGAGGCCUGACCUUUUGACCAGAGAGGAAUGAAAAAGUUGCCCCUUAUGAUGGCUGUGCCUGGUCAGUUGCCUGGAGCUGCGUUCAAGGAUUUCCGGAACCUUAUGGAUUUACAGUGAUUCUCAGCUGCCUGGGGAAUGACGGUGGAGGAAGCGUUCUCUGCAGUCACGUGCACGCGGCGCACGUUUGGAUGCUAACGGCGGUUUUAAGGAAGGCCCUGGCUGCGUACCUGGCGGAUCCCUGCAGCCUGAAUGCCCGCGGGGGACAGAGGACCGUGGCUUCCUGUGAUGGCUGAGUUCUCUGCCUUUAUCUCCGCACGAGUGAUUGGUUGGGUGGCUGCCAGCCUCACCGAGGGCGCCCUGUGAAACACUCCUGUCUUACCUCGGAUUUCGGUGCUGUCAGUCUGAAAAACAGACGUCCAUUUGGUACUCUAGAUGGACUGUCCUUCCCUGACCUAAAGCUGGGCCAUUUGGAGAUUUGGAGAACAAAGGUUGUUGGCUGUGAUUGUAGCAGAGUCCUGAGCUCCUGUGGAGAUUUGCCUCUCUCCAGCCUUGGGCUAUCUGCAUUCUUGAACAGCUCAGGACCCAGAAGGAAAAGAAGAAUGCUGACCCGCUCUGGGGAUGGCCUGAAUGAAGAGAGCGCGAUUCCUGGUGGUGGCGGCCUCGGCCUGAAGCAGCCUGGCCCUACGCUGGAAACAUUGUCUUCCCGCGGCUCGGGAGCGGGAACGCAGCCCCUGGCUGAGUGUGAGAGAACUGCUCAGAGAUGUUAA